UACAGAGGUCUCAAGCGUUGUUCGGAUUCAUUGGGCGUAAAGGGUGCGUAGGCGGCGCGGUAAGUCGGGUGUGAAAUCUCGGAGCUUAACUCCGAAACUGCAUUCGAUACUGCCGUGCUUGAGGACUGGAGAGGAGACUGGAAUUUACGGUGUAGCGGUGAAAUGCGUAGAUAAUCGUGAAGGAAGACCAGUGCGAAGGCGGGUCGUCUGGACAGU
rnacentral:rRNA from 1 species